rnacentral:rRNA from 1 species
UACGUAGGGUGCAAGCGUUAAUCGGAAUUACUGGGCGUAAAGCGUGCGCAGGCGGUUGUGCAAGACAGAUGUGAAAUCCCCGGGCUCAACCUGGGAACUGCAUUUGUGACUGCACUGGCUGGAGUGCGGCAGAGGGGGAUGGAAUUCCGCGUGUAGCAGUGAAAUGCGUAGAUAUGCGGAGGAACACCGAUGGCGAAGGCAAUCCCCUGGGCCUGCACUGACGCUCAUGCACGAAAGCGUGGGGAGCAAACA